AUUUUGACUGUACAAAGGUAGCAUAAUCAAUAGUCUCUUAAUUGGUGACUUGUAUGAAAGAUUGGAUGAGAUAUAUACUGUCUCUUGUUAAUUUAUAGAAAUUAAUUUUUUAGUAAAAAAGCUAAAAUAAUUUUAAAAGACGAGAAGACCCUAUAGAGUUUAAUAAUUUAUUUAAUUAUUAUUAAUAUAUAAUUUUUAAAAUUAAAAUUAAAUAAAUUAUUUUGUUGGGGUGAUAGAAAAAUUAAAUUAACUUUUUUUAAUUAUUUACAUUAAUUUAUGGUUAAAUGAUCCAUUUAUAAUGAUUAAAAGAAAAAAUUACCUUAGGGAUAACAGCGUAAUUUUUUUUUUUAGUUCAAAUAGGAAGAAAAG
rnacentral:rRNA from 1 species